GAAGAAGAAAGUGCCAAGAAAAAGCAUUUGGAUAAGAAGAGAAAAUUGAAGGAGAUGUUUGAUGUGGAAUAUGAUGAAGGAGAAAGCACAUAUUUUGAUGAUCUUAAAGGAGAAAUGCAGAAACAAGCACAGCUGAAUCAUGCAGAAUUUGAAGAUCAAGAUGAUGAAGCCAGAGUUCAGUAUGAGGGUUUUCGACCUGGGAUGUACGUCCGCGUUGAGAUUGAAAAUGUUCCCUGUGAAUUUGUGCAGAACAUUGACCCCCAUUACCCCAUUAUCCUGGGUGGCUUGGGCAACAGCGAGGG
rnacentral:lncRNA from 1 species